GAGAUUUAAAAGCAUAAAAAGAAACUUGUCGCUGAAAAAAGGGGGGCCGGAGCCAAUUCCCCAGAGACUGAAUGGUUUGGUUAUAAUCCCUUAAGUUUUCUUAUUGAAAAUAGCGUUUCGAUAGGAAGCCGUAGUACUCUAGAUUCAAACUGAUGAAAAUGAGAGUAACGACAGCAAUAUAGAAACUAUUGUGAAACAAAAUUAUGUUGCUUCGGAACCAAAAAAUCUAUUAAAUCCUGGUCCUUCUAACAUUCAAAAACCAAUUGCAGUAAAAAGAAAAGAAAAUGGUUUUUCAAUGCCAGGAAUAAUAAAUAAAAAACUUAAGAAAAAAGCUGAAGAUGAGAAAGUCGAUGAAGCGUAUAAAUUUAUGACAGA